rnacentral:lncRNA from 1 species
ACAACCGACACAUGCGUAACUUGUACUCCUCCCAAGACCCAUGCAUUAGUGUCAGUUUUUUAAAUCAUCUUUUACCUACCCGAUAUGCAAGCAUGUUCCUUGUUGCUUAAACACAAAGAUGUGUUUAUGUCUUUCUUCGAAGAUGCUCAUGCAUUGUAGGUUAUGUGCAACAAUGUGAAUUCCAAUAAAGUACAGUUGAAAGUCCAGCAUCCGUCCGUGUGUAACGCCUUUUCCUUGUGUGCAUGUCCUUUGUGUUUCAACGGUGCCCCCCUUUUUCAGGCUCACAAUGUGCGUAUAGAGGAGCCUCAGCGCAAAAUUUGUAGUUUGAAGUACGAAUGAAAGCAUUACAAAAAGGCUAUAGCAAAUAGCUGUUUUUAAUACCGAAGCUGGAAAGAGAAUGCUGCCAUUACUGCUCACCGGAAGUGACACAUAAAUAGAGAGCAUGCAGCUCCUUGGCAUGAUUGCCCAAAUAACGUGGCUGCCUGGGGUGUGUUGUUGAAAAAUCAUAGAGGCGGUGCACUGGAAUUUAUGUAGUUGUGACGAACACCAUGUGCACGAGCAAUCUGCUUAGGUGCUGUUUAAAGGCUGCUAACAAGAAAACUAUACAUUACCAGCCCUGUGACUGCCAAGAUGGCAUACACUACUUGUAUGUAACAAAUUUAGCCAAAGCGAUAUUCCAUUGCAGUUGGCCUUUAAGCAGGGCUACUUACUCUGUCCAGAUCGGUACACUGUUACCCUGUAAGUUUGGUUUCUCCAAAUAAACAAGUGCUGUUCAUAGAUCACAGAGUGACAAUUGUGUCUGCAAAAUAUCUCUGUAUGCUGUUAAAACAGACUCAAUUUCAAGUAGAAGCAUGUGUGCCCUUAUUUUGGGAGUAGCAGUCUCCUUGUCAGAAAAAAUAAUGACAUCACGGGUUCCACGGGCAACUUCGGAGGUACGGACACAGUGUCACUGGCGCAAAUAGCCACCAGCAAUGCGAAUGCAGGCAAUCUUCUCUAUAGCGAAUGUGGAUGUAAUGAAUUUCACACAUAACAAAGUAAAUUUAAAAUGCUUCUCGUUCGUGUGAAUGAGGGUGGCAAUGUGGGCUUGCUGGUCAGUCAUACUGAAAUGAGACAGUGUUGCACAUAGACACAAUAAGGAAUGACACACGAACGUGAUUUGGUCCCAUGGUUUUCCUGCAUCCCACUGCAAAACUGCUCCUUUCGGUUCAAAGAAAUGCUGUGCUCCGUUUCACACAUGGCAAGCAUUGCUACGAUGGCUUGAGUGACUUCUCUCACUGCUAGCAUCCGCAACCAAAAAAAAACUUGUGCCUCACGUAUGAAAAAGGUAUUACCGUAUUUACUCGAAUCUAAUGUGCACUUCUUUUCUGAUAAAACGGGUCCGAAAAUUGAGUGAGCAUUCGAAUAGAGUACGACUGUAAAUCUGCAUUACCAUAUCGCCAUCAGCAUUUCAAAAUGGCCGCCUCAUACACACUUCGAGUCUAGUUGCCGUAGCUUUCUCCGUGUGCUGUAUGUAGUAUGUGUGCUUAGGCGAUGCUUCCUUUGGCGUAGGUUAGUCCACCGCCUGUCUUCCCGUUUUCCGCGUUUGCUCUAUCAGCAUGGAAGUGCCGAUUGCAAAGACAUGCUGAGUUCAUCACAAUGCCACAAGUAAAAGGAAAGCGAUCACGUGUGCGGAGACAGACAGAAAUUGGGCCGCAUCACAGGCGUUCGGAGUUCUCUAAACUUGCGUGCGGGACUGGCGCAAACAGGAGAGGCAUUCUACACCAGCGGCUGCUACGUAUGGCGCGGCCGCAUGGCUCCUAUCUUGAAAGCCAUCUGUAAUGGAGACAAGAGUCUACGCAUCUAGGCGCACCGCGCUGUGUUCUCAUCGCUUAGUUUGCUUCGAAGUGAGAGGCCGCACAAAGGUCAAUUCCCUCACUCCUGCUACUGCACUUCCUCACUCCAGCAUUUAAACAGUUUCCGCGGUUAUUGAGUGAGACAUGUUCAUGUUUGCUUGUGCGCGCGUGACACCAUGCUUGUUAAUUUAAUUAGUAAGCAAAUGUUUAAAAGUUUAUACAGCCGAUAAAGAUGUGAUCCUUACUUUUCGUAUAGCUGUCUACUAAUUUGCUAUUGUAAUCGAUGCUUUGCCUUUCGGGCAAAACUGUGACUUUUUUUAUUUAUUGCAACUUUAGUGCAUUGGGAGUAAAUCUUGUUUUUUCCAAAUGAGAGAAAGUUGUAUUUUUGUAUGAAAGAAUGAGGUGUGCAGUACUGUAGAGGACUUUUCUUUCUUUUUAGGUCAUGGCAAACAGGUGUGUGUUACAAUCGAAGGCAUUUCCCCCCCCUUUUGGGGGGUCACGGAAAACGGGUGCGCGUUACAAUCGAGGGCUCAUUAGAAUCAAGUAAAUAUGGUAGGUACGCACCAUGUAAUUCGAUGUUACUCUGUGGCUCGUACUUUUAUGUAGCAAAAUAUGAUGUGUUUAUUACAUUAAAGGCGUAGGCGAUCUAUUAAAUCUAUGUACCACCAAACGAGUGGGGUAUCAUGUUACCUACUGAAAGCACAGAUAUUCACAAGCAAUGUGUGAUUUGAUGUAAGGUUGCAUCCACAAGUAGCACUUGUAAUGUAUGACGUAGUUAUUUCGUAGAAAACAAUGCAGAUCAAGAACUGCACUUCAAAGUGUGUGGAGUGAGACAUCUAUGGCCACACUAAUUGCGUAGUUUCCACAGUGUCACCUGCUGUAUCUUUGAAAUGGAGUAGAGUCAAUGUAAAAGCAAACUCUGAGUUGAUAAGCUUAAUCAUCGAAGCACAGCAUAUAUCUACUCUUUCACUGACCAAUGCAUCAGAAAAGGUUUCAUAUCAUUGCCAGUUAAGGGACUUGAAUACCUAUGCAUGUCAGGAUAAGUAUAUGUCAUAUGAGAUGUGUCGCAGCAGCUUGCGAUUUUCUCCAGUUUUAUAAAUUUCUAGAAAUGUUUUUCUUUUUCUCUUUUGCGUUUGGUACCUUUACUCGAAAUGUCUGUUGACAUGUGGUUUGUGAGACACGUGACUGGGGGUAAGUACAGCUGGUCGAGAAAUAAAUAUUUCAUUGCUGAAAGUAA